AGAGUCCCUCCCACUGGGCUGCCAACAAUGUCCCGCUUGCCAGUUCUCCAGAACUUCUGACCUGAGAUGCUCCUCAGGGAUGAAGUGAGGGAGAAAAGAAAUCACUGCCGUGUGAUUGAGUGGAUGCUGUAAGGACUCCUCCCAGAGAAGCAGCCUGAUACCGCUCUUCCCUGCUAGCGAGCUGUGGCUCCAUCCUCUGUUCUCCAAGCUGACUAAAGCCACCAGGGCCGUUCUGAAGCAUGAGAAGAUUACCUGCUUCCAAUAAGCCAGAAACUGUGACAAGUGCUCUUAUUUGAAGGUUAAUGCAUUCAAGGCUUGCUGGGAUUGCUCACUGAUAAAAGGUACAUUCUGUCCACCGUACCCAUUCUAGGACCUAUUUCAAGUAUGUAGCCUUGAGAGAGAGCAGUGCAUUGUGGGGACCAUCUGGAUGAUGACGCAUGACAGAGCUCAGUUCAGGCCUCCGUGUAAACCUGUGGCAUUCUGGCAGGCGGUCGCUUGUAGCCACGCAAGACAACCUUGUAUCUGUGUCUUCCUUCACUCCUGGGAUGAAGAGUAGCAACAAAGACCAAAGCCACCUGACUUCUCCCUGUGUACAUCCCGUCCUUUCCUACUUGGAUGACCAGACACUGCUUUCUCCAGCUCCUAUCAAUGGGUACCAUUUCUCAUGGCCUGGAGAAACACAUUCAUUCUCAAGAAAAGGAAAGGCUGACUAGGGAUCC